UCCCUUUCCACCCCCCCGCGCCCCCCCCCCCCCCCCCGCCCACCCCCGACGCUGUGCUCCUCUCCGCUCGAUUGCUCCUCUUCCGCGGCGAGCUCCCCCGCCGGAUUGAAGAUCCGGAUCCCUGCGCUCUUGGUAUUUCUGUGAUUUGAGAUCUCUCACUGCUUCUUGGGCAUUUGAGCUCAAAUGGUUGCAAGAUUAGUCUUUUGCAACUUUUUGUACUCAUGUUGAACUUUUUAGCGGCGUAAACUUGCCAGAACCAGGUUAAUGGCAUCUGGUACAAAGUCAGACUUGUUGUCUGGCAGCCCUGAUGGGCAUGGGUACUUCAAUGGAUCACGCGGGUCAUAUUCGUCUGCUUCAUUGGAAAGGUCUGGAAGCUUUCGUGAAGGUGGUGAUAGUUAUGCGACGUUCCCAGUAUCAAGCUCAACAAGAUCACCAGCAGUUGACUCUGCUACCUUGCUUCAAUCCCUUGCCAUGGAACUAAGGGCAGCAACUUUGGAUCAGAAAGCAUCUCGAUUAGAUGUAAAAAAAUCAAUAAGUUCCAUAUUUGGAACUUCCCCAGAAGAAUCAACAUCAACUCCAUGUACAGGAAGGAACUUUCCUAAUUCUGUUGAAGAGAUCAGACGUUUGAGGCAUAACAUUAAUGAGAUGUCAAACAAAGCUAGUUUAAGAGCUAGAGCUUUUGGUGCUGCUGUAGCGAAGAUUGAUAAAUGUUGUCCUAACAUUACACGAAAACGUUCCCGCGGAGACAGUUCAUCUAAUGAACGAUCUACUGCAUCUUUGUGUGGAGGAGCUAUGUCCAGGAUUGGCCCGCACGGCCAUCUGAAUGCAGAUGAUGCAGAACUUGGGCCUCAAAGAGAAGAGAGGACAAAGAAUGCAGUACAAAAUAGGAGAUUGCGUACAUCCAUGACGGAGAUGGACUCAAGGACCGCGAGUAUGUCAAGGGGGUUGGCACCCGUUGAUAGAAGCUCGGAUCCUGGGAAAGUUACAAAUGGUGGUCAAGCAGUUCUUGAAGAAAAAACGAGAGGCUUGGCAACUAGUAUUGAUGGUUGGGAGAAGCCAAAGAUGAAGAAAAAGCGUUCUGCCAUCAAGGCAGAUGUUUCAUCCGUUAGUACUUCACGAACCAUGGAUGUAGACCGGGAGCAGAAACAAGGCAUGCAACACAAGUUUAGCAGUGAUGCCAGGGCAAGAAUGGGAAGUUCCCCUAGUUUCAGGUCUGGAGCUGUUGCAUCUGUCUCUGGUACUGGUAAAGCGGACUUGUUUUCUGCACAAAAUGGUCUUGUUGGGCGAUCCCUGAAUAGGAAUGACCAAGACAGUGGUUUCCAUCCUACUAACAAAAGGGAUCGACAACUUGUUUUAGAUAAGGAAAUGUCCAAUAUCCCAAAGCUAUUAACAAACUCAAUGAAGAUGACACUAGUUCUAAUAUCACAGCAGUAUCAAAGGCAAACGGGUCUGCUAGGGGACCCCGAUCAAACUCUGGUUCAUUAUUAAAGUCAUCUCCAAACAGGCAUCGACUACAAGCUAAUCCUGAUGACUGGGAACAUCCUUCUGCCACAAAUAAGUUGAAUUCUGCUAGUGGAUCUGGCAAUUCUAAACGUACAAAGUCUGCACAUUCACUAUCCCCUCCCACCCAGUGGGGUGGGCAGAGGCCUCAGAAGAUUUCCCGUUCAGCAAGGAAGUCAAAUCUAGUCCCCAUCAUCACAAGCACUGAUGGGACAUUAGUAUCUGGUUCGCUUGAAAGUCCAUCUAUCAGUGAACAAUCUGCCGGGUUACCCAGGCGUGCGUCUAUAAAUGCUUCACAACAAGCCAAAAGGGGAGAUCAUGGGCACUCAACUGGACCUGAAGGAGGCGAGUUUGGAUUUGCUGAGAAAAAGUUGAGGGACAAAAGCAAAAGGGCUGGUGAACUGGAUGAUGGCCACUGUGGUUUUCAAAAGACUGCAAUGCUUGGGCAUCCUUCCAAAAAGAAUAAGUUUUCUGCUGAUGAAGAUAUUGGCGAUGCUUCACGAAGACAAGGAAGGAUUGGUCGUGGUUUUACUCCAACCAGGCCCAGUACCCCUUCAUCACUUGACAAGCUUGAAAAUGCUCCGAUUACAAAACAAAGAAGUGUAAGGACAGUCUCAGAGAGAAACGAAAGUAAAUCUGGAAGACCACUGAUAAAGAAGAUAUCAGAGCGUAAAGGCAAUGCACGCCCUAGGCAUACAAUUAGCAAUCUGCAGGCGGACUCUCCUGUGCAAUCAGAAGAUGAUCAUGAGGAACUGCUUGCUUCAGCAAAUUCUGCUCUAAGGUCUGCUUAUGGAAGUGCAUUUUGGCGGCAGGUGGAUCCUUUCUUUGGUUUUGUGACCACAGAAGACAUAGCGUACCUAAGUGAACAGAUACAUUUGCUAGAUGACUCUGCUGCGAGCAGGUCAGUUGAAGGAGACGAAAGUCAGAAAUACAAGGGUAGCCUUGAAUACAUUUCAGAGCCAUCAACUCCGGCUGGUAGCAACAAAGAUGACCAUAGUGCUCUUCCAAAUGGGUAUGCCCUGAAUGGGAUGGUGAAUGAUUCAGGCGCCUGGGGGACAAGCUGCAUCGAACCUAUCCUGGAUCAACUUGUCCAAGGAAUUGAUGUGCGAGAAGUUGGUUCGGUUGGCCAAAGACUUAUUCAAGCUUGGAUAGAUGAAGAUAAGGUUGAUGAUAUUGCCAACGACGGUUACAGAAGCGAAGGAUAUCCAUUCGAUACACAUGAAAUACAUUUUGAUGAAGGAGGAUGGAAAUCUCAUUCAGAAGGUUAUAAGUUGGAGCCUUUGCUGAAUUUUGAAGCUGCAGGGAAUUGCCCUAAUGGUUUCAUGUUGGGAUCUGAUUGGAAAUACAAUGAUGAACCGUCACAAAAGAACAGUAAUGUCAUGGAGAAGGCCAAGGUGUGGCCCGAGUUUCAGUACAGUGAAAUGUGCUUCAGUGAUAGGAUUAUCAUCGAGCUAAGUGAAGUGGGUGUAUCUAUUGAACCCGUGCCUGAUCUUGCACAGAGUGAAGACGAGGAUGUCAAUGCUGAAAUCUGUAGAUUAGAAGGCCAACUUCAUAAGGAGGUUCUCGAGAAGGAAAAGUUACUAGCGAAGUUGGACAGAAUGGUUAGAACUGAGAAGGAGUCUCAGCAGAGGGAAUUUUCACGGCGCGCCAUGGAGAGACUUGUGCUCAUUGCUUACGAGAAAUACAUGGCAUUCUGUGGCUCAAAUAAUUCAAGCAGCAAAAGUGUUAAUAGAGCUAGCAAACAUGCUGCCCUCAGUUUUGUUAAACGCACGAUGGCUCGUUGCCAAAUCUACGAAGAGGCAGGAACAAGCUGCUUUGAUGAAGCCCCUUUCAAGGAUAUGUUUAUAUCAGCAACUUCACACAGAAAGGACCCAGAUUCUGCUUCACAAGAAAAUAAUACACUACCAAAAUCGGUCCAAAGGUCUAGUGCAUCAGAUGCUUCUCGAGCGAGCAGUCACAUGUCGGAUCUGUCAUUUGCUAAGGAGGAUCCCUGGACAAAUAAUGUAAAACAAAGGGAAUUGUUGCUUGAUGAGGUUGUAGGCAGCAUAACUGGAGGAACCCUGAAGACUUCGGGCCUUGGGGCUUCCCUUGUUAGCAAUACAAAAGGAAAGAGAAGUGAGAGAGAUAGGGAAGGUAAAGGGCACAGAUCAGGGCGACCGCCAUCGUCCAGUGUAAAAGGGGAACGGAAGAAUAAAACAAAGCCCAAACAGAGGACAGCCAACAUAUCUGCUCCUGUGGGCAGUGCUCCUCCCCGGGAUCCGGAUCCACAGCCGCAGACGAUAGUAACUCCUUCAGACAACAAGAGCAAGGACAGUAGCACCUUUGCUGCCACUAGACGUGAUGAACAGGCAAAUCCCGCAAACGAUGCUGAAAUACCAGACUUGUCUAACCUUGAGCUGCCAGGAAUCGACGGCGAUUUCGGCGGCUGGUUGAAUAAUAUAGACGACGACGAUGGGUUCCAGGAUCUCGACUUGAUGGGCCUCGAGAUCCCCAUGGACGACAUCAACGAGAUUAAUAUGAUGAUAUAGGCCCACAUAGAAAGCUUCAUAUAGUGCACAGGUAACAGGUGGUUCUCUCAAGAUAACCACCAACCCCAGCAGGUUUAACACCAGGCCGGAUAGUCUCCAGGUAGCAUUUUUUCUUUUUCGAUAAAAGCUUGUAGAGACCUCACACCCCUCCCCCCCUUUGUAUCAUCGGCGUGCAGCUCGCCUCCCUACCUUGUACAACACGUCACUCUGUACUGUACAUAUCUAUUUUGGUGCUGUACAAGGCAGGGAGGCCGGUUGCUUGACUGUACUUGAAAGGCUGUACAUAUGGUAUCCCCUUGUGCUAAAAUAAAGCGGCGUCGGUUAUAGCUUUA